rnacentral:rRNA from 1 species
UACAGAGGUCUCAAGCGUUGUUCGGAUUCAUUGGGCGUAAAGGGUGCGUAGGUGGCGCCGUAAGUCGGGUGUGAAAUUUCGGAGCUUAACUCCGAAACUGCAUUCGAUACUGGCGUGCUUGAGGACUGGAGAGGAGACUGGAAUUCACGGUGUAGCAGUGAAAUGCGUAGAGAUCAUGAGGAAGACCAGUGGCGAAGGCGGGUCUCUGGACAGUUCCUGACACUGAGACACGAAGGCCAGGGGAGCAAACGGG